rnacentral:rRNA from 1 species
UACGUAGGGUGCGAGCGUUGUCCGGAUUUAUUGGGCGUAAAGAGCUCGUAGGCGGCUUGUCGCGUCGACUGUGAAAUCCCGAGGCUCAACCUCGGGUCUGCAGUCGAUACGGGCAAACUGGAGUGUUGCAGGGGAGACUGGAAUUCCUGGUGUAGCGGUGAAAUGCGCAGAUAUCAGGAGGAACACCGGUGGCGAAGGCGGGUCUCUGGGCAACAACUGACGCUGAGGAGCGAAAGCGUGGGGAGCGAACAGG